rnacentral:rRNA from 1 species
UGCGUAGGUGGUAUGGCAAGUCAGAAGUGAAAACCCAGGGCUUAACUCUGGGACUGCUUUUGAAACUGUCAGACUGGAGUGCAGGAGAGGUAAGCGGAAUUCCUAGUGUAGCGGUGAAAUGCGUAGAUAUUAGGAGGAACAUCAGUGGCGAAGGCGGCUUACUGGACUGAAACUGACACUGAGGCACGAAAGCGUGGGGAGCAAACA